rnacentral:rRNA from 1 species
UACGUAGGGUGCGAGCGUUGUCCGGAAUUAUUGGGCGUAAAGAGCUCGUAGGCGGUUUGUUGCGUCGGCCGUGAAAACCUGCAGCUUAACUGUGGGCCUGCGGUCGAUACGGGCAGACUUGAGUUCGGUAGGGGAGACUGGAAUUCCUGGUGUAGCGGUGAAAUGCGCAGAUAUCAGGAGGAACACCGGUGGCGAAGGCGGGUCUCUGGGCAGUAACUGACGCUGAGGAGCGAAAGCGUGGGGAGCGAACAGG